UUCUUUUAGAUUAAAAUUUAAAGUAAAUUCUGCUCAAUGAAUAUUAUUAAAUAGCUGCAGUAUUUUGACUGUACAAAGGUAGCAUAAUAAAUUGUUUUUUAAUUGAAAACUAGAAUGAAUGAAUUAAUGAAAUAAAAACUUUAUUUAAAUAAAAAAUUGAAUUUUAUUUUUAAGUUAAAAAGCUUAAAUUAAUUUAUAAGACGAUAAGACCCUAUAGAAUUUUAUUUAUUAUAAAAAAAUUAAUUUUAUAAUAAAUUAAUUUAAUUUAUAAUAAAUUUUUUUGGGAGGAAAAUUAAAUUUAAUAAACUUUUAUAAAUUAAUUACAAUUAUAAUUGUUAUUAAAGUUGAUGAAUUUAUUUAAUUAUAAUAAUUAAAUUAAAUUACCUUAGGGAUAACAGCGUAAUAUUUUUGGAUAGUUCAUAUUGAUAAAAAUGUUU
rnacentral:rRNA from 1 species